GAUGAACGCUGGCGGCGUGCCUAAUACAUGCAAGUCGUUCGAACGGACGCGCAUCUUGCUUCUCUGAUAUUAGCGGCGGUCGGUAGCGUAACACGUGGUUAACCUACCUAUAAGACUGAGAUACCUUCGGGAAACCUGACCUCAUACCUGAUAAUAUUUUGAACUGCCUGGUUCAUAAGUAAAAGCCCUUCUUGCUGUCACUUCUUGAUGUUUCCUCGCUGCAUUAGCUAGUUGGUAAGGUAACGGCUUACCAAGGCAACGAUGCAUAGCCGACCUGACAAGGUGAGCGGGCACACUGGAAAUGAGAAACGGUCAAGACGGCAACGGGAGGCAGCAGUAGGGAAUCUUCCGCGAAGGGCGGAAGAAUGACGGAGAAACGCCGCGUGAGUGAUGAAGGUAUUCGGAGCGUAAAAAUAUGUUAUUAGGGAAGAAAAGAGGUGUAAGUAACGGUGAACAUAGUGACGGUACCUAAUCAGAAAGCCACGGCUAAAUACGUG
rnacentral:rRNA from 1 species